rnacentral:rRNA from 1 species
CUCGAGUAGAGCGGCGAACGGGUGAGUAACGCGUGAGAAACCUGCCUUCAUCUGGAGGAUAACACUCCUAACGGGGUGCUAAUACCGCAUGAGACCACGGGAUCGCAUGGUCCUGAGGUCAAAGGUGGCCUCUAUUUAUAAGCUACCGGAUGAAGAUGGUCUCGCGUCCCAUUAGCUAGUUGGCGGGGUAAUGGCCCACCAAGGCGACGAUGGGUAGCUGGUCUGAGAGGAUGGUCAGCCACACUGGGACUGAGAUACGGCCCAGACUCCUACGGGAGGCAGCAGUCGAGAGGCUUCGGCAAUGGGGGAAACCCUGACCGAGCGACGCCGCGUGGGGGAUGAAGGCCCUUGGGUUGUAAACCCCUUUUUGUUCGGGAAGAAAUGCGAUCAGGUUAAUAAUCUGGUCGUUUGACGGUACCGGACGAAUAAGCUCCGGCUAACUCCGUGCCAGCAGCCGCGGUAACACGGGGGGAGCAAGCGUUGUUCGGAAUCACUGGGCGUAAAGGGCGUGUAGGCGGUCAGGUAAGUGAGAUGUGAAAUGCCCCGGCUCACCCGGGGACCGGCAUCUCAUACUGCUUGGCUUGAGUACGGGAGAGGAUGUGGGAAUUCCUGGUGUAGCGGUGAAAUGCGUAGAUAUCAGGAGGAACACCGGUGGCGAAGGCGCACAUCUGGCCCGAUACUGACGCUGAGGCGCGAAAGCUAGGGGAGCAAACGGGAUUAGAUACCCCGGUAGUCCUAGCCGUAAACGGUGAUCACUAGGUGUUGGAGGCAUUGACCCCUCCAGUGCCGCAGCUAACGCAUUAAGUGAUCCGCCUGGGGAGUACGGCCGCAAGGUUGAACUCCAAUGAAUUGACG